GAACCCGUAGCUCAGAGGUAGAGCGUGUGAUUCCAGUUUAAGAUGCUUCCACAAGGUCAUCCGUUCAAUCCGGGUCGGGUUCA
rfam:Gloeophyllum trabeum ATCC 11539 unplaced genomic scaffold GLOTRscaffold_00001, whole genome shotgun sequence.